rnacentral:rRNA from 1 species
UACGGAGGGGGCUAGCGUUGUUCGGAAUUACUGGGCGUAAAGCGCGCGUAGGCGGUCCUGCAAGUCGGGGGUGAAAGCCCGAGGCUCAACCUCGGAACUGCCUUCGAUACUGCGGGUCUCGAGUCCGGGAGAGGUGAGUGGAAUUCCUAGUGUAGAGGUGAAAUUCGUAGAUAUUAGGAAGAACACCAGUGGCGAAGGCGGCGCACUGGCCCGGUACUGACGCUGAGGCGCGAAAGCGUGGGGAGCAAACAGG